CUUAGCUGGGGGGUGACUGGUGGUGUCAUCGGAAUUAAAAAUCAUACUUGUGCUUUAUUUAUUGUUUUAGCCUGCAAUGCCAGGCCGUGUGCCGCGGGCCGGGGAGGGGCGCCUGCAGUGCUGUUCAGGGAGACAAAACCUCUCUCCGUCCCUGGGAGACUUUCCUGAAAGGAUAAGAAAUAAAAGGAGGGUGCAAGUGUCUGUGCGAAGAGAGGCGGUGGGUUUUGCGCGGAUCAGGUAGCUGACUCCAGCCCGCUGCUUGUUCAUGGGCGACCUGACUAAGAAGUAAAAGCGAAAAAAACCCUGACUAAAUAAGCUCGUCAAAAUGUUUCUGGAGGACAUUCCCUGGAGAUGAGUAAUGCAUAGAAACUCUGCACAUCCAGAAAGAAAACAACUGCUGGAUCUGAGCGGGAAGGGGGCAGAGCUGCCCUUCAAAUUCAGCUCUCUGCAGGCCAAUCACCAGAAAAAACCCAAACCCCCUUCUGCAGCAGCCUGCGUCCCUUCAGUGUCAUAUUAUAUUACCGUCUUCCAUGUUAGCAAAUGGGAAAAUAAACACUGGGUGGAUAGCAAAGCAAGAGGCCUUUUAAUUACAGAUGUUAAGGAGAAGGACAUUUGUGUACAUUCCACCAAGACGCGGAUUACAGCGGCGACCUUUCCCGUGGUGUGAAAUCAGCUUGUUGAGGAGCGCCGGCAUCUUGCGUCAGUGCAAGCUCUGCCAGACGUUUCGUUGCCCCCGUUGUUUAUGGUUAACGUUGAACGAUGCCUCUCGAAGCUGGAUCUCGGCAGCUGACCGUGUUUUCUGAGAACUUGUCAUCUGGACUUUAUCUAGCAGAAUUCCUAGCAUUGGGUGUAUUUGUUCCCAUUUGCAGCGAAAACAAUGUUUUCUGAAAAAAGAACAAACAUGAAGGGAGGGUGAUGGCGUAAAUGACUCACAACAUUGAUCUGAAACCUGGAGAGCGAUCCAGCAUUUGGUGCAGGGUGCCAGACAGGCGGCUCGGCGACAAACGUCCCCUGAGCGCGGGAGCCGGCGCAGACGCUCAGCAGGGCAGGUGCCCUGGGAGAGCCUGGGCAAGGCUUCCCCGUUGGGCUAAUGGGUUUGAGACUGGCCUUUUCCAUGAGGUUGCUGGCCACGAGCGGCCUCCCAGGACCACAUCGGAAAAGAGGGACGUUAUUUCCAACCCACCAAGGUGCGGUGCUGUCUUGGUCCUUGCAAUCCUUCUGGUAGGGCCUUGUCUUGCUCGACGCGAAUAGGUAUUGUGCCAAACGCACGACUGGAUAGCUCUUCGCUGUUCUGCUCCCGGUGAGACUGAUACCCUCUUAAAAACAGGAGGGCGAGGAGACACAAGCUCUCACGCGAGUGUCACCAGCCUCUGGUGGCAUCACCUGCAAAGGACUUUCUCAUCAAACCCACCUUGCUGUAUCCCAGAGAAAGACGAGGCUGAGCCCUGAAACCAAGGUGGCCCAUUAAAGCCCUUGCAAGCGUUCCCAUCAGAUAUUCCUUGCCCUGAGGGCCAGCAUGGACCAGGCAGAAGCUCUCUGGCAAAGGCGCUAAUUGGCCCGGGUAAUUGCCGAGGGGUCAGACCGAGUCCAAGGGUGGACACUGAUUCGGUAAUGAAUGAGUGAGUGAUGGCAGUGAGCAGGCUGUGCCAUGCAUGUGGCCAGUAGCUCCUUCCUUAAUUACUGCUUCUUCUCAAGUUACAGCACCGGAAGAAUUACGCAGCGGUGCUGCCCGGCUGACGCUGGCUGCUCCAUGCAAGAAGCACGUCCUUUGCACGUGGUCGAAGCCGUGUCAGAGCAGCCGCGCAGGGGCUGCCUGGGCUGAUACACACAAUCCUUUCAUUGUGUCCAGCCAGUCUGGGGAAGGCUUCUGCGUUUUGUGUCAUCGGUCAAAACGUCAGCAUGGUUAUUUUGCCCACAGAGCAGCCCCCGAGCCGUACCUUGGAAGCAAGGUUUCAAACAUCUGGCUCCCUUCUUGCGACACGCUUAUCUCAUGCCGGUCUCCGAGGCUGAUGCUGGCUGUGUUGUUUCAGGAGUUCAGGCCCAACCGUUGCCUUUCAGAAGCUGACGACUCUGCCAACUGCCCGCCGCCUGCAACUCCUGCUUGCUGGCCUGGGGGCCUGGUCGUCGGCACGGGAAUAUUUCCAGGAUUGUUCCAAGCGGGGAAAAACCAGCCAGCUCCCACGCGAGCUGGGGAU